GGCCCGGUGGCGGACGGUUUCCGCGCCUGCGUUUAAUCAGCCUUGUCCAGCCAAGUCUUGCCGGAAAUGCUUGUUCGAAUCGAGCCUGGGCCA